AUUCGAUUAUGACGUACUUGUACUGAUUGAGAUUUUAACACGAAGUGAGUGGCGAACGGGUGAGUAACACGUGGGUAACCUGCCCAGAAGUAGGGGAUAACACCUGGAAACAGAUGCUAAUACCGUAUAACAGAGAAAACCGCAUGGUUUUCUUUUAAAAGAUGGCUCUGCUAUCACUUCUGGAUGGACCCGCGGCGUAUUAGCUAGUUGGUGAGGUAAAGGCUCACCAAGGCAGUGAUACGUAGCCGACCUGAGAGGGUAAUCGGCCACAUUGGGACUGAGACACGGCCCAGACUCCUACGGGAGGCAGCAGUAGGGAAUCUUCCACAAUGGACGCAAGUCUGAUGGAGCAACGCCGCGUGAGUGAAGAAGGGUUUCGGCUCGUAAAGCUCUGUUGUUAAAGAAGAACGUGGGUAAGAGUAACUGUUUACCCAAUGACGGUAUUUAACCAGAAAGCCACGGCUAACUACGUGCCAGCAGCCGCGGUAAUACGUAGGUGGCAAGCGUUAUCCGGAUUUAUUGGGCGUAAAGCGAGCGCAGGCGGUCUUUUAAGUCUAAUGUGAAAGCCUUCGGCUCAACCGAAGAAGUGCAUUGGAAACUGGGAGACUUGAGUGCAGAAGAGGACAGUGGAACUCCAUGUGUAGCGGUGAAAUGCGUAGAUAUAUGGAAGAACACCAGUGGCGAAGGCGGCUGUCUGGUCUGCAACUGACGCUGAGGCUCGAAAGCAUGGGUAGCGAACAGGAUUAGAUACCCUGGUAGUCCAUGCCGUAAACGAUGAUUACUAAGUGUUGGAGGGUUUCCGCCCUUCAGUGCUGCAGCUAACGCAUUAAGUAAUCCGCCUGGGGAGUACGACCGCAAGGUUGAAACUCAAAAGAAUUGACGGGGGCCCGCACAAGCGGUGGAGCAUGUGGUUUAAUUCGAAGCUACGCGAAGAACCUUACCAGGUCUUGACAUCUUCUGACAGUCUAAGAGAUUAGAGGUUCCCUUCGGGGACAGAAUGACAGGUGGUGCAUGGUUGUCGUCAGCUCGUGUCGUGAGAUGUUGGGUUAAGUCCCGCAACGAGCGCAACCCUUAUUACUAGUUGCCAGCAUUAAGUUGGGCACUCUAGUGAGACUGCCGGUGACAAACCGGAGGAAGGUGGGGACGACGUCAAAUCAUCAUGCCCCUUAUGACCUGGGCUACACACGUGCUACAAUGGAUGGUACAACGAGUCGCGAGACCGCGAGGUUAAGCUAAUCUCUUAAAACCAUUCUCAGUUCGGACUGUAGGCUGCAACUCGCCUACACGAAGUCGGAAUCGCUAGUAAUCGCGGAUCAGCAUGCCGCGGUGAAUACGUUCCCGGGCCUUGUACACACCGCCCGUCACACCAUGAGAGUUUGUAACACCCAAAGCCG
rnacentral:rRNA from 1 species